AACGCGCGCGAGUGGACGGGAGCGGGUAUGGUCGUCAAAACGGGUCUUUUUCUUCAAUAUUCUGCAAACUUAGCGUAAUUUCUUUAUUUGUAAUGCCAGGUAAUGUACCCAACUAUGUUGUAACGUAAGUUUGUGCGAUAUUAUCCUCCUGUUAUUUUUCUACAAUUUUUUUUUUCUGGGGACAUACAGAUCAGUCUUUCGCGUUCACCCCGAAACGCAGGCACUCUGAUCACACUAUUAAUACAGUUAUUUUCAGUCUUAUCCUCAUGUCUCUGACUUGAUUUGAGGACUUUUUCCAGUCGCCACCGCGGAUGUCGUUACAAACCCUAAGUGAGCCUCACUGGGCCACGCCACCGGAUAUCCUCUCCAGACAGGAUGUACACAAGUGCCGCCAGAAAGUAGUACGUGACAAGGACGAAACAUUUAGUAAUAAGUGUUCGCUUUUAACAGUUUGCCUUAUUUUUCGUAUUGUGUUAUAUUUUUGAAGUAUUAGUAGAAUAAUCUUUGCCUGGUAUGAUUUAGUUGUUGGUAUACACGAUAUCUGACCACUUCCGCGGCGGAUGGAUAUAGACAGAAUUACUCGUCGCACAACCACCCAGCUUUAGUUGGAGAGGAAGGGCGGUGACGAGAGUGUAAGGCUAGGCGCGUCUGACAUCUGUGAUGGAUUAUCUUGUUGGCGGGCGAGAACUGUGUCAAUCAAACCGCAAGCAUCAGGGCAGAUGCAUGGCGGCAGCAGACUUCAACACCUGAGAUGAACAUCAUACAUCAUGGAUUAGUUGCGAGGACCAUCCCAAAUAACACACCAGCAGCCGUGCACGGAAAAGUCGUACAUGAUGGAAAUCAGCUAUUCAUCACAGCCUUCAACAUCUUAGUUGUAUGUAAAAACUGGUGACAGGGCAAUUGGUUGACGUAUCACUGAAGUUUGUCUUGUGACAGAACAUCCAGCUUACUCAGGGGUUGUUAGGGUUAGGUCCAUUCUUACAGCUGCCCAGCCUCUUGGAAACCCAGACUUCGGGGACUGUGCCACUGGCUCAGUGGGGGCUGGUUCAGCUUAGUUAGAUGGGUUUGUUGGAUGCUAAUGUCUCAUAACAAUCUUUCGUAUUACGCUAUUUAGAAAUAGUCCCUGAAUCAAUUAUUCAUUGUGGUACUUUGUCAACACAAUCAGGAAAGGUAAGGCUUUUGUGUUUAAUACUAAACGAGAUCAGAUAUGUGCACAAGGCCAAGAGGUUUAUACAUGACAUGGAGUCAUCCAAGGUUUAUCCUUCGGUCUAGCUAGUAUAAAUGCACACUUGAGUUUUCAGUUUACAUGGAUAAACCUACAUUUGUUGUCGAGUUCU